GAAACCAACAGGGAUUGCCUUAGUAACGGCGAGUGAAGCGGCAAUAGCUCAAAUUUGAAAUCUGGCGCUUGCGUCCGAGUUGUAAUUUGUAGAGGAUGAUUUUGGUUAGGUACCUUUCGAGUUCCUUGGAACAGGACGCCUUAGAGGGUGAGAGCCCCGUACGAUUGGAUGCCGAGCCUCUGUAAAUCUCCUUCGACGAGUCGAGUAGUUUGGGAAUGCUGCUCUAAAUGGGAGGUAAAUUUCUUCUAAAGCUAAAUACCGGCCAGAGACCGAUAGCGCACAAGUAGAGUGAUCGAAAGAUGAAAAGCACUUUGAAAAGAGGGUUAAAUAGCACGUGAAAUUGUUGAAAGGGAAGGAUUUAUGACCAGACUUUUUCUAGGAGAAUCAUCCGGUGUUCUCACCGGUGCACUUCUUUUAGUUUAGGCCAGCAUCGACUUUCGGCGGUGGAUAAAAGCUUUAGGAAUGUGGCUUCCCUCGGGGAAGUGUUAUAGCCUAUUGAUAAUACACUGCUGGGGGUCGAGGUACGCGCUUCUGCAAGGAUGCUGGCGUAAUGGUUAUCAAUCACCCGUCUUGAAACACGGACCAAGGAGUCGAACAUUUGUGCGAGUGCUUGGGUGUUAAACCCUCACGCGUAAUGAAAGUGAACGGAGGUGAGAGCCCUUACGGGUGCAUCAUCGACCGAUCCUGAUGUUUUCGGAUGGAUUUGAGUAAGAGCAUAAAUGUUCGGACCCGAAAGAUGGUGAACUAUGCGUGGAUAGGGUGAAGCCAGAGGAAACUCUGGUGGAGGCUCGCAGCGGUUCUGACGUGCAAAUCGAUCGUCAAAUCUGCGCAUGGGGGCGAAAGACUAAUCGAACCAUCUAGUAGCUGGUUACCG
rnacentral:rRNA from 1 species